CCCAGGCCCGUUCGGAGCUUCCGGUGGGGCAGCGAUGACGACGCCCGGCGGCGGAAGCGCGGGAGGCAGCGCCAGGGUAGAUCCCGGCUGCUCGAGCCCGCUCCGUAGGUGGGUUUGUGUGUAAGCGCUCCCCGGAUGGAGAAACUGAGGCCCUGACCAGGUUUCCGCCGUCGCGGGUAUGUUAGCCCCCUGGUAACUAACACGCUUACAUUGCGCUCCUCUCCCUGCCCUGUUCCUGGCAUCUAGUGCAGUAUUGGGGACACAUAUCAAGUACUGAGUAAAAUGUUCGAUGAAUAAAUGAAAACAGACCUGGAAUUUGAACCCCCGUCUCCUGCCUGGAAUUCUGCUUGGAGAUUGGUUGAGAAGUAACAAACCCCAAGUCUUAUCCCUCUUGGAUUCCUGCAAAGAACACAGUGCCAGCCUUAGCCAAGCUUACUGGGUUGCCCCAGUCAGUAAAGAGACGGUACAAAGGGAUUCCGAAGGCGCUGUGCUCUUACGGCACGGUAUUUUAAGAAAUUUUUCUUUCUUUCUUUUUUUUUUUUUUAUGUUUAAACACACGUAGACACACACACAGCCACUUAUUCACCAUGAGUCUGUAUAUACUAAUAAAAAAUAUUACCGAAACUUAGUGUUGGGAUAGAAUUUUUGUUUUAAAGAUAAAACAACCUUUAUUUGUGCACACCACUCGUGUGACAAAGGCUCCUUCUCCAUCAGACCUGUAGUCCCUCGAGGACUAUUGACUGAGGGAGGAGUGAGGCCGCCCACCUUAAUGGUUUCCCUUUGUUUUAACUACUCAAAAACUCAUUGCUGUGGAGUAGAUUCCAAAUCAUGGUGACCCCAUGUGUUACAGAGUAGAGCUGCUCCAUAGGGUUUUCUUGGUUGUAGUCUUACUGAUGUGUAUUGCCAGGCCUUUCUUCUACAGUGCCACUGAGUGGAUUCAGAUCACCAACCUUUAGGUUAGAAGUUGAGCACAAACUGUUUGUGCCACCUAGGAACCUUUCUUUUUCCCUUGACUCCCAAUAGGAUCCUAAGAACUGGGAAACAUCCUUACUUCUUUGUUUUUGUUUUUCAAUCUAGGAUAUAUUUAAGCCUUUCCUCUCCCCACCCCCCCAGCUGAGCUGUUAUCUUCCAGCUUCUGACCGAUGGGUCUGUGUUGCAGGACAGAGCGUCCUGCUGGGUGAAAGGAGGCCUUGCCAAUGGUCAGAGCUGCCCACAGAUGAACUGCGUAGCUCUGUGUGUAUAAGCGCAGGGUCCCAGGUCCCCACCUGCUUGCCUGUGGACAAGCAGUGGGUCUCCGGGCCCUCCACAAGAGAGCUCCUGUAAUCUAUGCGAGGUUGAGCAGAGAUGGCCUCUGUGGGGCCUUUCAAUUCGAAGGAAAAAUGAUUCAAAGAGUUGACUCUGAUUUAAAAAUUCAUUGAGUCUCAGUCCAACCCAUGAAGUGAAGUUUCUCAAGGAUUUAGGGCCUAAAAAAGCCAUUCUCUGGUCCCUAAAACCAUCUCUCCCCCAACUCCUCCUCUCUGCCCGAGGAGGCCAGUUUAAGUGAAAAUAACAGGCAACCUGACCUCACUCACUUUAUGUACCACAUCCUGUUUUCAGAUUAAUGAGCUCAUUUGGUGGAAAUUUACCAAAGGAAAUAGUUUAAUUUUGGAAAGUACCAAAAAUUAUCUUUAGUCACUCCACUUAGUUUUGGGGGCUCUUAAAAUAGAGGGGGCAUCACCUGAGGACCUCUGAGCACUCGGGAUGGCAAGUCUACAGAAAUCGAAAGCCAGAGCCCCAUGAGGCUGAACCUGACUCAGAAAGGAAAUGAAACCCUUUGGAGACCACUCACUUCUACUGGAUCCUGCAGCUGGCUCCUGUUCAUCUGACCUCUAGUUCUUGGGACUUGAGCUAGCAACUUGCUGUCCUGCCUGCUGAUCUUGGGAUUCGUCGAUCUUCACAGCCUGCGAGCAAGAGCAUUGCUAUAUGACCUGCCCAUCUUGGGUUCACCAGCCCCUGCAGCUAUGUGAAUCAGGAGAAGCCUCCAUCCUGACCCACGGACUUGGGACAUUCCAGUCUCUGCAACCGUGUGAGCCAUUUCCUUAAUAUAAAUCUCCCUCUCUAUAUAUUUAUAUGCUUUACUGAUUUUGCUUCUCUAGAGAACCAGCCUAAGACACUGAUCUAAUGCAACCUUCUCAGGUCCCAGAUGUGGAAACUGGGACUCUCUCCAUGGCUUGCUCUGUGGCUGUCCCAGCCCAUUCCACCGUUUCUCUGACAACUGUGCCUUUACAUGUGUUAUAGUUUAAGACCCUGAUAGCUAAAAGUUUUGGAGAAAGGAGAGAUUACCCUGGGGUGUAAUUAAAUCUGGGGUGUGGGUUGGGGGAGGCAGACCAGACUAGCACCUAAAGGACUGGAGGAUUGGGACCCAUGGUUUUGGUAAAAAUAACAAUGAUAAUAAUAGCAACUGCUUUUUAUUUAAUGUCAGACACUGCUCUAAGCACAUUGCAUACAUUGCUCUGUUUAAUUUUUAUGCCAUCACCAGGAAGUGGUGAAAAAAUAGAUCAAC